AUUGAACGCUGGCGGCGUGCCUAAUACAUGCAAGUCGAGCGAAAACACGCCUACGUGUGCCCACUAGUGUCAGCGGCGGGCGGGAUAGUACCGAAUGGGCCCCCUCGCUAUGAGACAGGGAUCACAACCUGUGCCCAUAGCUAAUACGGGCUACUAUAGUGAACCGCAUGGCUCAAUAGUGUAAGCCGACUUUGCGGCCGAUGGUAGAUGGAUCAACGGCGCAUUAGCUAGUUGGUAAGGUAACGGCUUACCAAGGCAACGAUGCGUAGCCGAUCUGAGAGGAUGAUCAGCCACACUGGAACUGAGACACGGCCCAGACUCCUACGGGAGGCAGCAGUAGGGAAUCUUCCACAAUGGGCGAAAGCCUGACGGAGCAACGCCGCGUGAGGGAUGAAGGUCUUCGGAUUGUAAAACUCUUUUAUUAGGGAAGAACAAAUGUGUAAGUAUCCAGGCACGUCAUGACGGUACCGAAAGAGAAAGCCACGGCUAACUACGUG
rnacentral:rRNA from 1 species